rnacentral:rRNA from 1 species
AGAGCAGAUCGAUUGGACGGGGAAUCCAAUUCCCGCGGCCGCCAUGGCGGCCGGUAACCAUGGGGUGAUCGGCCUUUUCGCCCUAGAUUGAGUCGGAAUAAUGGGUCUAAUACCGGAUAUGACCUCGGAAUGCAUGUUCUGGGGUGGAAAGAUUUAUCGGUGCGAGAUGGGCUCGCGGCCUAUCAGCUUGUUGGUGAGGUAACGGCUCACCAAGGCGACGACGGGUAGCCGACCUGAGAGGGUGACCGGCCACACUGGGACUGAGACACGGCCCAGACUCCUACGGGAGGCAGCAGUGGGGAAUAUUGCACAAUGGGCGCAAGCCUGAUGCAGCGACGCCGCGUGCGGGAUGACGGCCUUCGGGUUGUAAACCGCUUUUGACAGGGACGAAGCGCAAGUGACUGUACCUGUAGAAUAAGGACCGGUCAACUACGUGCCAGCAGCCGCGGUAAUACGUAGGGUCCGAGCGUUGUCCGGAAUUACUGGGCGUAAAGAGCUUGUAGGCGGUUCGUCGCGUCGUUUGUGAAAACUUGGGGCUCAACCUUAAGCUUGCAGGCGAUACGGGCGGACUAGAGUACUUCAGGGGAGACUGGAAUUCCUGGUGUAGCGGUGAGAUGCGCAGAUAUCAGGAGGAACACCGGUGGCGGAGGCGGGUCUCUGGGAAGUAACUGACGCUGAGAAGCGAAAGCAUGGGUAGCAAACAGGAUUAGAUACCCUGGUAGUCCAUGCCGUAAACGGUGGGUACUAGGUGUGGGGCUCCUUCCACGGACUCCGUGCCGUAGCUAACGCAUUAAGUACCCCGCCUGGGGAGUACGGCCGCAAGGCUAAAACUCAAAUGAAUUGACGGGG